rnacentral:ncRNA from 1 species
CACCGCCCGUCACACUAUGGGAGCUGGCCAUGCCCGAAGUCGUUACCUUAACCGCAAGGAGGGGGAUGUCGAAGGCAGGGCUAGUGACUGGAGUGAAGUCGUAACAAGGUAGUCGUACUGGAAGGGGCGGCUG